rnacentral:rRNA from 1 species
UACGUAGGGCGCAAGCGUUUGUCCGGAAUUAUUGGGCGUAAAGAGCUCGUAGGCGGUUUGUCGCGUCUGCUGUGAAAACCUCAGGCUCAACCUGGGGCUUGCAGUGGGUACGGGCAGACUAGAGUGCGGUAGGGGUGACUGGAAUUCCUGGUGUAGCGGUGGAAUGCGCAGAUAUCAGGAGGAACACCGAUGGCGAAGGCAGGUCACUGGGCCGCAACUGACGCUGAGGGAGCGAAAGCAUGGGGAGCGAACAG